rnacentral:misc_RNA from 1 species
UCGAAUCCUCGUACCGAAUGACCUGCGAACCCGUUCCAAAAAUCACAAGCGUCUCGGUGACUCGUUGCCGGACGCGUCGAGCACGGAAAAAGAAAAUCCGGCGCGGGAAGCGCCAAGGACUAGCGAAAUAGAGGAUGGCCUUCCCGCGGCAUCCUGGCCGAGGGGAUUAAAGGGGUCUCCGAACGAUAUACAGUACGACUCUCGGCAACGGAUAUCUAGGCUCUCGCAUCGAUGAAGAACGUAGCAAACUGCGAUAGUUGGUGUGAAUUGCAGAAUCCCGUGAACCACGGAGUCUUUGAACGCAAGUUGCGCCCGAAGCCAUUAGGCCGAGGGCACGUCUGCCUGGGCGUCACGCAUCGCGUCGUCCCCCCGGCCCCCCGUGUCCCGAAAGGGGGUCGCGGGCCUUGGCGUGGGGGCGGAAGUUGGCUUCCCGUGCAGCGUGUGCGGCUGGCCUGAAACAGCGGUUCCCUCGGCGCGGCCGUCGCGGCAACAAGCGGUGGCCGUGGAGAUCGUACGCGAGUUGCCGGCGAGCCGGGUCGAGGAGAGCACUUGGACCCCGUGCGAGACGACGAGCCCUUGAGGGAGGGGCAA